AAGAAGAAAUAAAAGUGGAAAAUAAAAUAUGGGGUACAUGAGUCAUUAGUGAGGGUGCACAAAGUAAACACAACAACAAGCCCAAAAACAAUAGACAAAGAUAUGGGGUGCAUGAAUAUCACAUGUGAAAGGUGUAUGAAGUAACAGGUGGGGUGCGUGCAGUAAAUAAAGGGGUGUGCUAAGCAAACACAAGAUGGAGGUGCAGGAAUUAAAAACGGGGGUACACGAAGGAGUUCCUAAUGCAAAGAGGGUGUGAAAAACAAAUAAUACAAUCCAAAUAGGGGUUGCAGAACGUAAACAGUAUUCUAGCCCAAAACGAAAUAAUGGUAGGUGCAAGAUGAAACUAUGGGGGUGCAAGGCGAAAAAACAAAAAAAGUCGUGGCAAGUGAAACCAAUUGACCUAAACCCUAGCUGCUGAAAAAACACAAGAGGCAAGUCACCUCCCUCUCUCCCUCUUCCGCAUGGAACCAAAACCAUGACCAAUCAUCAUCAACACCUCACUUACUCCGGCAGGCCAGGGACGCCGGCGACGACGCCGACCACCAUCAACGACCACCUUCACCGUUGCAUCACCACACCACCGCGGCGCCUAUUGACGCCGGAGACGUCGCCCUCGUUCCCGGCGGCUCAACGACUCCCUUUCGCGCACGCAUCCAACCCGAGAUAUCGUCUCCCCGCUGCAACCACCCAAAGACGGCGACAGCGACGCCACCACAGACCUCGACGAGAGCCCAGGAUACGCGACCUUCACUCUCCCUCCUCCCAGGCACGACUCGAACGGCCGCUGCUCCGACGCCCAAAGCCACUGCCGACAAUGCUCAGCUCACCGCGACCCAGACCGCCGUCGCAGCGCCGCUGUUGGGAACUAGGAACACCGCUGGAGAUUCUAGUUCAGUUCCCUUCUCCUCGCGUCAACGCGGCUCAACCCUAGCACCAGUUUGCACACGAGUCCUCUGCGAGAAACCCUGACUCGCCGGCGGCGAAGCCGUCGGUGACUGCUUCAAUUCGUUUUUUUUUUUAUCUCUUUGUUCCGAUUGGAUGUGGCUGUUUGGCACUGGAAUUGGGGGUCUGUUCUUUGAUUUUGCGCAGGUGAAUGAUAAAGAUGAGAAAAAAGAUUAAUUGAUGGUGGAAGAGUGCGUGACGGUGAUGGUGAUUUUGGGAAGGAUUGUUGUUUGUGUUGAGUGCGGCGGGAAGGUGGUGAUAAUUGGAGGAUAGUGAAUCUGUUUUUUAUUCUGGUUUUUUUAUGCAGGUGAAUGUGAAAAUGAUGAUGGAGGCUGAUGGUUAGAAUUUGAAUGAAGGUGCUGGAGUUUGGGAAAUGAAUUAAGUGUAUAUGCGGAUUUUGUUUGGUGGAGGUGAGGGCGUGAUGUUGAUGAUGGCGAGAGAGAUGAAUGUUGUUAUGUGCAGUUUGUGGUUAUGUGCAGGUUGUAGGAGAAUGAAAAUGUGUAGAAUGGGGUCGUAGUCAAUGCUAGGGUGUUGGGUAUGCAGAGUAUUGAAGAAGGAAGUGAAAGUGUUAGUGUAGGGGUUGGCUCUGAGGACAAAGUGAAGCGUUAGUUGAAUGGAGGACGGGUUUAGUGUAUGUCUCGUUUUCAACCAUUAAUGCAACAACGGUCUCCACACAUAAACAUAUUGGAAUCGUGAACCAGUAACAGAUCAAAUACAACCGAUCCAACACACAACUAACAACUAAUCAAGUUGACACAUAAGUAUUGAAGGUACAAACGAUGCUUACUUCUCGGAAGCUCCUGGUGGUGGUCUUGGUCUGUUCGUUCAAGAUGCAAGUGUACCUCUUGUGGAGGAGAGUAGACUUUGGGUUGUUGUUCAGUGUGAGUAAGUGUUGGGCCUCCCAGGAAAGAUAAAGGCAAACGUGUUAUAGGAGAGAAAGAUUCCUUGUUGGCGGUUGCGUGUUGAUCAUUGAGGGAAUCCACAAGAACGACAGUUUUUGAUUAAAACAAAGGAGAUGUAUGAAGGUUAAUGCGUGAAACCGUGUGUUGAUGCAUGAAACCAACGUGGAGAGAUGAUGGUGUAAGAAAGAGCUGCAACCAGUAGGUUGUGCUGGUGCAGGAGAAAAAAGAGCCCUUUUUUGCAUGGUUUAGAAAAUAAGUUGAGGGAGAAAACAUGUAACACGUGGCAACGUGGAAGCGAGUGAUUGGGAGAAUUUUAGAAUGCAAAGAGAGAAAAGUGGGUGUGAGAAUUAAUCUAAAAAAAAGUGUAAAAACGAAAUAAGAUGACGUAAACAUGGUAGAAACUUGAUAGGCUUUUGAACGAAAUGAAAACAAGGUAAGAAAAAGAAAACGAAUGGUGCAGGUACAUAAAAAAGGAAUUGGGUUGUUAAGAAAAUGAAAAUGGAUAUGCAUAAAAAAAA